rnacentral:rRNA from 1 species
CUAUGCGCCUUGCCAGCCCGCUCAGUCAGAGUUUGAUCCUGGCUCAGGACGAACGCUGGCGGCGUGCCUAAUACAUGCAAGUCGAACGAACGGAUAAAGAGCUUGCUCUUUUGAAGUUAGUGGCGGACGGGUGAGUAACACGUGGGUAACCUGCCUCACAGCUGGGGAUAACAUCGAGAAAUCGAUGCUAAUACCGAAUGUGCUGAACAUCAUAAGAUGUUCAAGUGAAAGACGGUUUCGGCUGUCACUGUGAGAUGGACCCGCGCUGGAUUAGCUAGUUGGUAAGGUAAUGGCUUACCAAGGCGACGAUCCAUAGCCGACCUGAGAGGGUGAUCGGCCACAUUGGGACUGAGACACGGCCCAA